rnacentral:misc_RNA from 1 species
GCUCAGAGUUAUGGUACGGACAUUAUAUCCAGACUAGUAGCAAUUACCUGUGGGAAUACAAAGAUCUAAGCGUAGUGGGAAGCAAAUUUACGAUUAUAUUAUUAGUGAUACGAGAAUUCUCGCACUACCUGUUGGUUAUCAUUAUCCCUUUCAACAAAGCGUGAAGUGGGAAGAGGAGCGAUAAUACUAGACACGAGGGGUUUGCGAAAAUAUCUGUUACCUUCGAUCGUCAGAUAGAGUUGUUACAAAUCAAACAACACAGAAAUAUCGUUUUAUUUUAACGUACCAUAAUACUGAUAAUGAAGCAUUUACACUGUAAACAGAAAUAAUUUUGAGAAUAACUGCUAUAGAAAGUGACCAAAUACAGAA